UUAUCUGAUGAACUAUCCUUAUUCAGGAUUCCCUCUUCUGAGUAGAACCCAUUAAAAACCAUGCGGUCAAGUCUCCCUGUCUGAACACAAUCCUAAAUUAUAUUAUUUAAUGUAUAUAUUUUAGGCGAAACUAAAUGAAUUUUCUUUAUUUACAGCUCUAACUGCGCUUUGCCUUCGAUAUGCAGCUUUUGGAGUGAAGUUUGACUUAUCAGAAAGGUAAGUUUACUAGAUAUUUGUAGCAUAGACUAUAUAUUGCCUGAUGAACUAUCCUUAUUCAGGAUUCCCUCUUCUGAGUAGAACCCAUUAAAAACCAUGCGGUCAAGUCUCCCUGUCUGAUCAAAUUUAAAAAAAUAGCUUUCCAUGCUUAAUCCAACAAAUUGUUAAUAAUUUACAAACUAUAUUUGCAGCUGGCUAUAUCUAUUUGCCUUUUUCGAUAUCCAGGACAGCUUUGAAGAGAUUACAAUUACCCGGCUGACCACUGACUCCUUAUAAAUACUUUGAGUACAACUGAAUAAAAACAAUUGAAAAAU